rnacentral:lncRNA from 1 species
GAGGGAGUUCUCAUCUGAUUGUUUCUCUAUUCUCAGAGGGCAGCCGCCAAGGGCAGUUGCUGAGCAGAGUGGAGAGGAACAGGUGCUGGGGUUGUCAGGGGAGACAUGUGACUCUGGGGUAGGAAGGGGUCUGUGGCUGCCUUUAUUGGGCAUGUCAAGAGCAGUACGGUGGACACCCACUGGGUGCUCACCCUGAGCCAGGCUCUUACUAUCUCAUUUAAUCUGCAGAACAGCCUGCAGGGUGCAUACCACAGGGCCAUUGUAUAGAUGAGGAGCUGUGUGUCCAAGGUCACACAGCCGGUGAGAGGCAGAGGUAGAAUGGCAGACCAGGUGUACGCAGUGACAGGGGACGGAGGGUCCUCCACAUGACUGAAGAAGACACCUUGCUUGCCUCUUCAUGUUCUACCUCCCCUUUUGACCCAGCUGGGCACCACUUCAUGCCACUGCCAACCUCCCUGCCAAGUCUCGUUUACCAGGAAUGGCAAAUCUGGGGGGCCCUAAAGAAGUCAAUGGCUGGGGACCUUUAAAUGUCCUACCACAAGGGCCCCUCACUGCCCUUAAUCAGGGGCACACUUCUGUUUUGCCACCCACUCUGUCUCAUACUUGCAUCUUCCCUUGUGACUUACAUGUGCCUAGUAUGUGUGAGGUGCUGCACUGGAUGCUGCUGAAACAGACUCAGUUCCUAACCCCCCAGGACGGGGGCACCCCCUGGGAGGCACUUGGAAGUGUGAUCCAUCACGGCCCGGGGGGUGUGGUUGGCUGGUUCUGGGCUGCAGC